UUUCCCACCGUGAUUGCAUCGCCAAAUUUGCCGUCACGGAUCAGAAACCAUUGGAAAGGAAAUGACGGGGAACGCAGCAGAGUGUAGACGGUAGAUAUGUAUUAAGAAAUAUGGAAAUAUAUGACGGGCAGACUCUAUGACCUCCAGACGAAUCACGCCAUUCAUUCCGAUUUGAUGUUAUUCGCUUGUCUACAAAAAUAUUUUCGGAAUACGCCUCGAUUUGUAUUCAAAAGUCUCACCAACUUGUUUUGUUUUUUCCAGAUUUCCAGAAAAAUGGAAUGCGCAAUAGUGUCAGAAAUGAAUUUUUUUUGGCGUGUGUGUAUGUGUGUGUCUAUAUGGUGUCUACUUCUAAAGUCUUAUAAGGUGUCGAGAGUGUAUCAAGCGUCUGGGUCGAGUGAGCAAGUGACACUUGAUACUGCAGGCCGACGUGGUUUCGGUGUGAAGGACAGCUACAAGCCUCGUUCUAUACACUCAACUCCGCCACCAUCACCACCAGCAUCCACCGAGUAAAAUGUGUAAAAAAGAGCGAACGGACUGGUUUUUCAACUUCCCGGGCGGUCUUCAAACUGUAGCCCAUCGUCGUCCGAGACAAGCAAUAACAUCUUUAGGCCUGUACAGCAGCAGCAUGCCAGGGCCUGUGCAUGCUGGCCUACUGAUACGCACCUAAUAGUGUUGGGCUCUUUUAAAAAAAACCAACGAGCUGGGCACUCCUAUUAGUUAAUGAUGCCGUUGAUGAGGUUCCUCCUUUGCCUAUCCUAACUAUAGACUACACAUAUAUAUUCAUUUGUGUUGUUUCUAUGUGUAUAAACACACACGCAUCUACACAAGCCGACGGCGGUUUUGUUCUUCAUUAGCCGCCGGACCCUUCUCUCAUCUCCAAAACAAUAAAUAAUCCUAAAUUCGCUUGAUGGGGGUUGGACCGAGGGGAAAACAAAGAAAGAAAACAAAUCCAUUAAGAAAGAAUAUUUGAAUAAGUUGAGAUUUCUGGCACAACAUGAAAAUGUCGUUUUUGAUUCAAAUGCACUUACGUAAUAAAAUAACGUUUCAAUAGAUUUAAAGUAGACACUGAAAUGAGAGGAAGCGGCUCGCGUUCAUACAUAAAACUGGGUCGACCCUUCUUUUUGACAGGUUAAUUGUUCUGUCGGACGCAAAGACAUGUCCGAUUUUUCUUCAUUUGGAUUUAUUCCAGUUCUGUCCAUCGUCCAGUUUGACUUUUUUUUUUCUUUUGAAUAAAACGUGUGACGUCGUCCGUCAUUUGUCGAGACAAGGCCUUUCGCCUGUCUUGAGACCAUUUGUCCUCCAAGAUGAUCUCCUUCGAUAAAAGACCGCCGAGAAAUUUAAAAAAAAACCUAUCGGGAAAAAAAAUUGCGGGAGUAUAUUUUCGGUCAUUGAGUCACUAACCGUUUUUGACAUAUUCCGCGCGGCGGCACGAUCGGCACAAAUUCCAGCCGUUCUGCGUCAAUCGCAAAUCGACUCUGACGUUUGUCUUGGAAUUGCUCAAAAAGUAACGUUUGCCAUCUGUACAAUUGAAAUGUCUAAAAGAAAAUUAAUCAAAAGAGAGCACAAGACAGACACAAAAGACGCAUCAAAUAGUUUGAGAAUGACGUCAGCCGGACACUGUAUCGAAUUACAAUUUGCAUACGUCAAUCGAAUCGUCGAAGGGGCACUGUCAAAACGGAGCAAUUCUAUAAUACGCUGCUGCUGGCCUUUAUCGAAUAGGUCACUUGGGUCUGAAAGACUAAAAGGACCGUAAGAAAUCAUUCUAGCUUCUAGCUCUCUUUAACGUGAAUCGGAGGAUUAUAUAAGUGAAACGGGCGGGUCGAGCGCUGACGAGAAGUUGACGUGCCGGCGUCGCGGGACCGUGUGAGGCACCGGACGGGAAAGCGAACCCGCUGCCUCUCUCCUGCCAUGUGGACGACGCGGAAGCUUCAACUGUGACGUCACUGAUGAUGGGCGACCAAUGAGCGGUAAGCUCCACCCUUCUUGCCCUAGACCCCGCCCUUUUGCUCGGCCAUUUUACCUUACAUCCAAUGGCCUAGUCCGCCCUCUUUCUCCCUCUACUUCCUUCCUUCCUUCCUUCCUUCCUUCCUUCCUAUUCCUUGGGAAUGACUCGGAAGAAUGGAGAGAAGGCAACAGCACGCUCUGGCGACAUAUUGGAUGAUGUACGCACGCGCGCACGCGUUCACGACCGCGGAAGAGCUACCAACUGUACAAACGAAACAACAAAAAAAGA